UAGUCCACGCCGUAAACGAUGUCAACUAGCCGUUGGGGGGCUUGACCCUUUAGUGGCGCAGCUAACGCAAUAAGUUGACCGCCUGGGGAGUACGGCCGCAAGGUUAAAACUCAAAUGAAUUGACGGGGGCCCGCACAAGCGGUGGAGCAUGUGGUUUAAUUCGACGCAACGCGAAGAACCUUACCAGGUCUUGACAUCCUGCGAAUUUUCUAGAGAUAGAUUAGUGCCUUCGGGAACGCAGUGACAGGUGCUGCAUGGCUGUCGUCAGCUCGUGUCGUGAGAUGUUGGGUUAAGUCCCGUAACGAGCGCAACCCUUAUCCUUAGUUACCAGCGCGUUAUGGCGGGGACUCUAGGGAGACUGCCGGUUGACAAACCCGGAGGAAGGCGGGGACGAGGUCAAGUCAUCAUGGCCCUUACGACCUGGGCUACACACGUGCUACAAUGGGGGUACAAAGGGUCGCGAAGGCGCGAGCCGGAGCUAAUCCCAUAAAACCCCUCGUAGUCCGGAUUGGAGUCUGCAACUCGACUCCA
rnacentral:rRNA from 1 species